AGUGAACGCUGGCGGUAGGCCUAACACAUGCAAGUCGAACGGCAGCACAGUAAGAUCUUGCUCUUACUGGUGGCGAGUGGCGGACGGGUGAGGAAUACAUCGGAAUCUACUUUUUCGUGGGGGAUAACGUAGGGAAACUUACGCUAAUACCUCAUACGACCUACGGGUGAAAGCAGGGGAUCUUCGGACCUUGCGCGAUUGAAUGAGCCGAUUUCGGAUUAGCUAGUUGGCGGGGUAAAGGCCCACCAAGGCGACGAUCCGUAGCUGGUCUGAGAGGAUGAUCAGCCACACUGGAACUGAGACACGGUCCAGACUCCUACGGGAGGCAGCAGUGGGGAAUAUUGGACAAUGGGCGCAAGCCUGAUCCAGCCAUACCGCGUGGGUGAAGAAGGCCUUCGGGUUGUAAAGCCCUUUUGUUGGGAAAGAAAAGCAGCAGGUUAAUACCCCGCUGUUCUGACGGUACCCAAAGAAUAAGCACCGGCUAACUUCGUG
rnacentral:rRNA from 1 species